UCAGUGAGCUGCUAUUCAGACUCAGAAAGUAGCUUGGAGAAUACUCCAGACGUUAGGCUUUGCGAGUUUUUGUUUGUUUACAUAGAAAAGUCUCUUUUAAAUUUCCUUAUUCUUACACUGCAAAGAGACCUAACCUUGAUGGGUCCCAUCUGCAAUGCUCCUCCUGAAAAGAGACAGAGCUGUUUAACUGAACUGACCUAUUUGGAGGACGAAUAGACUGAUUGAAAAAGGUGCCCAGGAAGUCCUGGAACUGAGUCCUGGGGCAAGGUUCUGGAAGUUGGGACAAGAAGGCUGAACCUCGCUGGUGAUUCAGAUGGAUCAUGAGGAUCUUUCAACAAAGCUAAGUUCCCGUCUUUUAACGCAGUUAUUCUCAUACUUUUAUACUGAAAUAUCCAGAAUAGCAAAUGAGUUAAAUAUGUUUUCUGUGGGGUUCUGUACAAAGAAGAUUUAGAGCUUUAUGAACCUAAAAUAACAUAUCACAAGGAGAAAAUUUACUUGAAGUGGGAGACUUGGCUUAAAAGCAUCUAAUAUAAAUUGUAUAUUAUAUUCAAUAAUACAAAAGCAAUGCUUUAUUUAGAAUGAAUUAAAAUGCAUGCUUCAGACAAAAUGCAUGAUGUUUAGCUUUUGAUUUACUGAAUAUACUAUUCAACAGAUGUUUGAGUUACAUAGUUUGAGGAGCACAGGCCUUUGGUAUUGAUGGCUCCUGUUAAAAUAAAAACAUGUUUUCUGAGAGCAUAAUCAUAUGAAACCAGGAGCACAUAUUAACAUAAAACUCAAAUCACUUCCCCUGACUUUCUUCUUUCAAAUGUAAAGAAAGUGGGAAACAGGACAGAUGAAUUUGAAGAAACAGAAGAGCUCAGGAAAGUUCAAAGCAUGAAGCAAACUCAAAAGUAUAUCUAAAUACCUAGGGAGCACCUUCAAAGCACAAGGUACCUGAAGAUGAAACGGCAGAAGUGAAAAGAAUUGCUCGUGUAGUACAGGGCUAAAAUUGUACCUGAAGCAUCUCUGCUGCUAUCCCAGGAGAAGAAGAGUCGACAGUAGCUAUGGUAAACAUGCAUGGAAGCAUCAGGGAAAACAGAAAUUUAGAGAAGCAGAUAGAGUGAGCCCAAGGCAAGAUAAGGGUUUCUGGGUCUGAAUUUCAGAAAAGCCUGACUAUGGAGAGUGGGAGUUCCUGUUUUCUUUCAGUGACUUGCUAAUUUCAAUUUUGUGUGUGUGUGGCAUUAACAGAUUUUUGCCUAACUUGGGACAUUUUUAACAGUAGAGGAACUCUUCUGUCAGUUCUGAUAUGGUAAUUUUAAAACACAUAUUCUUUAACUGAACAUUCAUUAAAUCACUUGGCCAGGAAUCCAAAUAACAAAAUGUCUGUCAUGGAAUUCUGUGUGUAAUAGGAGUUAUGUAACUUGUUUCUUCUUAGUAGAGAGAAUAAAAAGUAAAGUCAAAACCACCCCCAGAUGACCAUUUUUAGCACUUUCAUUUUAUCGGGAGAGGUGAGCAACAUGCAGAAAAUAUAUAUUCUUGAAUUAAUCUCCUUUGGGUACAGAGAGAAAAGAGCUCAUUAUUCUUCUAACUGGCAACGUUUGAUUUUAUUGACACCCUAACAGUAUGUCAAUUGCUCAGUAUAUCUCCCUAGGCUGUAGUCUUGCAGACUUUCUUUUUUCUUUUUUUUUUUAACUUACCAAUUCUAUGAUGUAUUCCCAUGGAUGUCUCUUUUUAUGCUAUUUUACAAUCUAUUUCUAGAAUAAUCAUGGAAAUUUCAAUGGAAACAACAUAUCACAUUCUCUGUCUACUACAUAAGUAUGUCUUUUUUAUUUGUAAAUAGAUCAUAUUUUGCACAUAAUUAGGUAAUACCCACAUAUCUCAAUUUGGCUUAGGAAUUAUAUUGAAAGAUAGAAUUGCAUAAGGGUAGGGAUUUUACUUUUAAAUUAUUUUCAUGUCUCCAUGGAUUGGCUCUGUGCUUUACACCCAGUAGCUGUGAAACAAGUACUUAUUUAAUGAUGAAUGAAUAAAUAAAUAAAUAGUUAAAUGCAGCAACAAAAAUGUUGGUAGAUAUAUAGGAUUGUAGAAUCUAAUUGCUUAGUAGGAUCAUCAAGUUCUACCCAAAUUUGGUGUGGCAAACAGAACAAUGGUCCCUUAAGGAUGGCCUAGUCCUAACCUCCCAAACCUGGAAUAUGUUACCUUAUGUAACAAAGAGACUUUGCAGAUGUAAUUAAGUUAAUGAUCUUAAGACAGAAAUAUUAUUCUAAGUGAACUCAAUGAAAUUACAAUGAACAAUGUUCCUUAAAAGAGGAAGGCAAAAGUUCAGAAUGAAACACACAGACACACAUAAAGUGGCUACGAAAGCAGAAGUAGUGAGAGAUUUGAAGAUGCUACCUUACUAGAUUCAAAGACAGAGGAAGGGGUUAAAAUCUGAGGAAAUCAGGCAAGGCAGCCUUUCGAAGCUGCAGAAGAUGAGGAAAUGAAUUCUCCCUAGAACUUCCAGAUAGAAACAGCCCUACUGAUGCCUUGACAUUAGCUCAGUGAAACGUAUUUUCAGACUCUAACUUCCAGAUCUGUAGGAGAUAAAUUUGUGUUGUUUAAGCUACUACAUUUGUGGCAGUUUGUCAAAGUAGCAAAAGGAAACGUAUAUUUGGUAGGCAUCAGAAUUUCCUGAGCAAUAUAGUGUGAUUACCUUUGAAAAUUCUACUCAGCAGUCCUGGAAUUGCAGCCUGAAAUUUGAAAUUUACUAAGUGCUCCCACUAUAUCUGAGUCAGGAAUUACCUAGGAAACCAUGAUAUAUUGCAUUACACUAAUUUUGUACUUGAGAAAAAGCACAAUGUUAAAAUCUCAAGAACAUUAAUAUAGACUUAAGUACAAUUUAUCAUGUAAAAACAUAUUUGAAAAAGUAAGCCUGAAAAAAAGAAACAACUGAACUAUUAACACUAUAUUCUCUAACUAUAUAUUGAUUUUCUCCUUUUGCUUUUACACAGCGAACCACAUAUACUUUCACAGAGGGUGAUUUGGAUAAUAUGUUCCAUGCAUUGCUCCAAGCAGAAAUUCUCAAUCUAUCAUUUCUGCUUGUAUUAUUUUACACCUCUUAAAGACAUUCACAUUCCAUCACAGGGAGCCAAAAUCAGCCUGUUAUAUCUCUGUUUGCGAAUACCGCAAUACUUACUUUACUUUCUCCUGAAUAGAUUGUUAGUGGUUUUUAUUAUCUCCUGUAAAGAGUGUGAGAAAUGCAUGUUGCAAGGACACUUUUGUUUUAUUCACAUUAUUCUACUGAAUCAUGCUAACCAUAGCAUUACAUCUAUUUAUCUAUCUAGCUAUUAAACAUAUUCAGAAUACCUAACAACUUUAGGGGCAUUCAGUAUAUAGAAUAUGCUAGUAUUUGUUAUUUUCUAAAAAUUAAUAAUUAAGAAUGUCAUUCUAUUAUUGCAUUAGUGACUUAGUUAAAAUUUAGACCAUUAACAAAAAAGAGAUGAAAAAAAAAACAAAAAACAUUAGGCACUAAAGGAGUCCUCAGCAAUGGCUUUUUCAAAAUGAUAAUUUGGCAUCAUAAAGCGGGUAUUUGGUAACCAUACUCUAUUACAGAACAGCAAAUGGAAUUUAUGUUCUAUUUUCCCAUAUCCACUUCUUUACUAUAAUUUAGCAAUCAUUGUAAUUCUUACUAUAUAGUUAUUUCAAAUUUGAUAUGAUUCUUAAAGAUGCUCUGAUAGUAACAUUUUCUUUAGUGCCUCAUGUCACUCUCUCUCUCUUUCUUUAAAAAAUAAGUUGUCUUUACAGGAACAAAUUUCACUAUAGAUGCCUGACUUUCUCCUUUCAAAAUGAUUAUUGAAACUCAUUGAGAUCUGGCACUCUGUGUUUCUUAUUUUUAUUCCGUACGUAGGAAAAAAAGAACUCAGAGACACACAUGGUUUUAAGAGGCUGUGACUGUCAACUCUGCCCCUUCCUAUUGAAUAUUGAAGCCUUUAUGUUAUUGAAUACAUUGAAUAUAUUGCAAAUUGGAACCCCAUUAAUAGGAUUCUAAGAAGCCUUACUACUAGAUCUGGAUUCUAAGCCUCCUUGCUUGUAUGAUAGGUUAUUGUCUGAGACAUUAAGCAACUAGACCUAUGUUGGGACACUUGCUUCACAAGGUAAUGCGAUGUAUUAAUAAUGAGGAAAGAAAAAUUGCCCUGCUUGUGCUAGUGAGGAUCUUGAGCACUCUCUAUUUUCUCUUCACUCCUGCUUUAGUGGUUGCAGAAAAGAUUUUUUUUCUGUCAGAUGUACAUGCAGUAGCAAAAAAUUGAAGCAUCUUUCCUCACUAAUGAGCUGCAAAAUUUAACAGUUUGGGGGAGUCUCCAUGGAAACUUUUUAAUAUGGUGACCUAUGAGUGCUAAAUGUGUAUGAGGUGACAAUUCCUUCUACAUGGAAGACUGUCACAGAUAGCAUAUGGUAGGACUUUAUGAAAGCCACUAAAAUUAUUUCUGCCUCAGUUUCCAUCACUAUAAAGGCAUAAUCAUAUAAUCUCCAGUCAUAAGGAUUACUGAGAUAAUCUUUAAAUUUGCAUUAAAUUCCUUGGAGAUAGGCAUUAUAUAAAUAGGAAGCUCCAUAUUAAAUGAACAAAAUUUCAAUAAAGAGUGGCUACACUUAAUGGAUACAAUGUGGUCUGAAAUUUAAGUAAUUGACCAGAAAUCAGGACUUGGGACCAAUUACUGGACAUCCAAUUUGUGUCAUUUGAGAGAAAUUGCAUAGAACAUUCUUUCCUCAUUUUCAACAUUUACUUAUUACAUGAAGUAGAUAAUUUAACACUAAAUAAGGCUAUAGUUACAUUUUCUCCAUGUGUCACUGCAGGCUGCAAAAAAAAGUAUUAUAUUAAAUUAAUAGUCAGAAUCUUUCCCCAAAUGAUGAUAAUUGGAUCUCUGAUUGAAAGGACACCAAAGAAAUGGCUAGAGAAAAUAUAGCUCUGUCCUCAGUAUAUAGUAUUUUUAAUAAUAAUCUAUAUUUUUAAAGUAUUACAUCAUGUUCACUCCAAGAAGGGAGAAAAGAGCUCAAAACAUAUCUGGUGGCACAUCUGUAGUCCCAGCUACUUGGGAGAUUGAGGCAGGAGGAUCACUUUAGCCCAGGAAUUUAAGGCUGCUGUAAGCUAUGAUUGCACCUGUGAAUAGCUACUGUACUACAGCCUGGGCAAUAUAGGAGGAUACUGUCUCUUAAAAAAACAAAACAAAAUAUCUGACAUUUAGCUUAUAAAUCUCAUGUAUUAAUGGUUCAUAUUUCUGUUAUUCAUGCUGACAUAAUUAUUGUGAAGUCUUUUUGCAUGUGAUAAGAAUCUAUAUUCUUAUUCAAUAUCUAUUAAAUAUAUGGUACUCUGCUAGAGUAUUCUGAUGGACUCAGGGUAGAAAAAUGACUAAAACAACAGCUAUCUGAAUUUCUCUAUCUUAAUCAGUAUGCAUAGUGUUAACCUUAUAUAAGAAUGUCCCUAUAGUUAAUCAUUUGUGGUUUCAUUAAGCAGUAUUGAAGCUUUUAGAAGAAAUCACACAUACUGUGAUUUAAGGAAGCCUGGCAGUUACAACAGAAAAAAGAAGCUGAUUCAUGUAGAAUGUCUUGAAAUUUUGUCACUGGUAAUUUUGGCAAGAACAUUAUUAAUGUUAAGAUUUGUUUAUAACCAAUGAGAACACAUGGACACAGGGAGGGGAACAUCACACACCAGGGCCUGUCGGGGUUGGAGGACCAGGGGAGGGAUAGCAUUAGGAGAAAUACCUAAUGUAGAUGAUGAGUUGAUGGGUGCAGCAAACCACCAUGGCACGUGUAUAGGCAUACACUGUAACAAACCUGGAUGUUCUGCACAUGUAUCCCAAAACUUAAAGAAUAAUUUUAAAAAGUUUUUUUUAAAGAUUUGUUUAUAAAAUGGCAAAUUGCUUAAUCAGGGGAAUCCUCAUUGAGUUGAGAAGUAUGAGCUGUGAAGUAUGUUUUGCUGGAAAUAAACUUGUAAGCCGCUACAUAUAUAUUCUCCAAACAGAAAUAAACGCAAACAUCAUUUACCUGGAGGACAGGUUGAGAAUGAGUUAUAGCCUAACAUGACAUACAUAAGAAACUAAAAAAAAAAAAAAAAAAAAAAAAAAAAAAACAGAAUGAGGAUGAUACAUGAUCCCAAAAUAGAAGUAAGCAUUUUUUGGACAGAAAAGAUUCUGAAAAACUUGUGUCCCAAUGGUUCAUCCUUGAAUUGUAUCAUUGCAACUACCCCUCCCUCAUACAUAUACCAUGUCCUCUUCAUGAUUCUGAGAAAUUUUGAAGACCAGAUUCAAGGGGGUUCACAAAUGCCACUAAGACCUUCAUGUUACUAAGAAUGAUUAGUAUAUCAGCCUGGAGAAGCACUUGCUACAGGUUAGGCAAAUUAGGGUCCCCUUAUAGAAGAUGAUUAAAGUAGACAGAAGGAAUAAAAUUAACGUAUUAUUCAAUAAAUCUUCCUUAUGUCUCAUCUGGCUAAAUAAAAGUCCUGGGAAUAUAUUUAUAACUAACCAUUAUGCAAGUUCUUUCAACCCAAAAUAUUUUCUCCCUAUAUUAACUCUAUGUACUCCCCUACACACACACAUAUAUCUCCUAAACUUUUUAAACUAUUCUAAGUUAUGUGCUAGGAAUUGUACUAGGCAUUUUACAAAUAUAAAUUCACGCUAUUUGUACAUUUAGAAAAGUAAGAUACAAGAUUAUUUUUAAUCAAUAUUGACAAAAUUUAUCUUCUUUUUAAACAUAUUGACUAAAUAGUUCAGAGUUCAAAGAUGAAUUAUGAUAAAGAGUGUUUAGCAAAAUGUUUACACAUAAAAUACUUUGAACUCACUAGCAAUGAAGCAAAUAUUAUAGCCCGAAGACUCUCAGGAAAUUUAAUCCAGAAUGGAGGAUACUAAGUGAUGUAUGGAACUGCUUAUUCUACUUAAACAUCAAAACUCCACAUGAAUCUUCGAAGUGUAUCUCUGCGCCUUAAAUGAAAACACAGUUUUGACAUUGUUUAUUGCCUCUUGAGAGGAAACUCUGCUCAAUUCAUAAGUGAAUCAUGAAUUACCCAAUUUUUUCUUCCAUGGGCUUCUCUCAGGGUGCCCCUUGGUUUAACUUCAUUAUGUACAAACAUGGUAUUACCUUCCAUAACACAAUAUUUCAUAUACAGAGUGAUAUAUCAUUUAGAUGACUCUUUAGACCAUCGUUUUGAAAGCUACAGUUUUCUGAGCUAACAAUUAUAUUAUAGCUAUAUAGAAAUAAUAAAACCUUUUUUUUUUCUUUUUUUGAGAUGGAGUCUCACUAUGUCGCCCAGGCUGGAGGGCAGUGGCGCGAUCUCAGCUCACUGCAACCUCCGCCUCUCAGGUUCAAGCGAUUCUCCUGCCUCAGCCUCCCGAGUAGCUGGGUCUGCAGGUGCGUGCCACCAUGCCCAGCUAAUUUUUUGUAUUUUUAGUAGAGACGGGAUUUCACUCUGUUAGCCAGGCUGGUCUCCAUCUCCUGACCUCGUGAUCCGCCCACCUCGUCCUCCCAAAGUGCUAGUAUUACAGGUGUGAGCCACUGCGCCAGGCCAGUAAAAUCUUUCUUAAUUAAACAGCCCUAUAUUGUGCAACUAUAAUAGAAUAUGUGAUAACUAAAUUCAAAGGGUGAGAGAAUCAUAAAAGUUAUCGUACAUGCCUAAACUUAUGUACCAAAAUGUGCUAUGUACAUGCAUACAACUAAGUGUACUAGGCUUUCAUCAGAAGUCCCUUUUAGUUAUCUGCAGCUGCUUUAUUCCUUUUUGUAGAUCCCUUAUAAUUAUAAAAAUAUUUUUAUAUACAUUCGAAAUAUCUUAUGAUUAUAUAUAGUUACACAUAUUUGAUAUAUAUUUAUAUAUGUAUUACAGCGAUGUAUUUCUGAUCAGUGUUUUCUAACAACCACAAAUAUGUGGAAUAUAACUUAUACAAAAAACAUUUUGGAUGACAUAACAACUCAGAAGUAAUAAUUUUCCACACCAAUGACCUGUCUCUACUUCUAAUAUAAAGAAGGCAUCAAGAAGUAUGCUUUCUUAAAUAUGCUCCCCUUCAGCUGACAGUUUAUUGGCUACCAAGACCUAUAGUGAGGAGCAAAUAUACAUUUCUUUAUUUAGAAUAUUGACCCUUGGGAGAGGUGUAUUUCAAAUGCAUUUUUUUUUUUUUUGCAGGCUUGAGUGGUUAAGCUUUUUAACGAUAUAAUUCUACAGAGAUCAUUUCUUCCAAUUUUCUUUAAUUUUCAGUUAAGUAAUCUGUGACCUACUAUACCUAUUCAUUUGGGGAGAAUUACAAUGCAAUUUCAAUUUCAAUUGAAGUCUCUGACCCUUAUUUACUGAAUCAUAAGUAUUUCAUCCGAUUGUAUUUGUGAGCCAAGAACACUUUCUACUUAUUUGGGGAUGCUUCUUUUUAUUAUUUCCUCAGGAUAAGACAAACUUAGUGAGUGGAAGACUAGUUGUGUGGGAGAAUAAUAACUUAUAAGACAGGUUUUCACCCAAGUGCCAUAGAAAGACUGUCAUACAUUGAUGAUGAUGUGAAAUGUGAAUUUAAGGCCUAUUGUUUAAUCCAUUGCUCUUUUUAAUACAUUGACUUUUUAGUGUGGUAGGGCAGCCGAGAAGUUAGCAAUAUUUCAUUAUUUCUCAAGUAAAUCAACUCAAAAGAUCAUUACCAAAAUAGUAAAAUUCCACGUAUUUUCACUAUCUGCCAAGUACUAAAACCCAGCGUCAUCUUGUCAUAAAAAAAUAGCAAUAUAUUGGAAUCCUUUUUGAAGUCUUCAGUGCCCAAAGUAUGGAAGAGAUCAGUUAACAAAAAUGCAUUAAGAGGAAGAAUAAUAGGAUUUAUGGAUCUACUUUUAGUUUUGUUUUGUUUUUGCAUUUUCAUAAUGUUUAUUGAUAUGGAGAUAUUACUUUUAAACAUGCUAUAGUUUAGCUUACAUUUAGAAUACAUUUCCUGUAAAUGAAAAUGCACAAUAGUAAGCAAAGUUACUAGUACGGAUUGACCAUUGAAAUCCCAAUGAGGGUUCCAGGAGAGUAAGCCCUUGGAAAAGUCUCUUGUUAUGAUGGAACCAGGAAAGUCACAAGCAUGACAAGGAAUAUGUUCUGUGAAAAGAUGCCCCACGUGUCCAAAUGCCUGGAGACACUGGAUGAUCUUUUUUCCAGAAACAACAACAGCAGUUUUAAAUAUGAUUCAGCAAUCCCAGUGAACUUCGAUAUUCAAAGAAUUAGAAAUCAGUAUAUUGACAUGACAACUACACUUCCAUGUUUAUUGCAGCACUAUUCACAAUAGCCAAGAUAUGGAGUCAACCUAAGUUGAUUAUCAACAUAUCAACAGAUGACUGGAUAAUGCAAAUGUGGUUUAUAGCACAAAGAAAUGCUAUUUAGCCUUAACAAAGAAAUUAUUGUCAUUUGCAGCAUCAUAGAUAGAUCUAGAUAACAUUACACUAAAUGAAAUAAACCAGGAACAGAAAGACAAGUAUUGUAUGAGCUCACUUAUAAUGGGGAAUCUAAAAAAAGUAGAAAUCACAGAAGCAGAGAGCAGAAUGGUGGUUACUAGAGGCAGGGGGUGGGAGACAUGAGCAAGGAAAGGGGAGAUGUUAAUCAAAGGAUACAAGGUUUCCUUUAGACAGGAGAAAUGAGUUCUAGUGAUCUACCGCACAGCGUAGUGCCUAUAGUUAAUAAUAAUGUAUUGCAUAUUUGAAAAUUGUUAAUAGGUUUUAAAUGUUCUCACCAAAAAUGAAUGAUAAAUAUAUGAGGUGAUAAUAUGUUAAUUAGCUACAUUUCAUCAUUCCACAGUGUAUACAUAUAUCAAUACAUCACAUUUUGCCCCAUAAAUAUAUAGAAUUAUUAUUAGUCAAUUAAAAUCAAAUAAAAUUUUGAAGGGCAGUGCUUAAAUUUCAUUAUUAUGCAAUAUACUACCUAUUUGAUCUUUGUCCAGUCACCCAGCCUCACUGUAUCAUUGUUCUCCUCUCCAAAAAAUAAAAUGCUAACCAAUUAAAGAGAAGCCAGAGGAAAGCAAAUAGAAGCAAAUUAAAGUAUGUUGCAUAUACAUAGUUAAAUUAUGAAUUAUCUACUUGUAUGUGAAUAGGACCCUCCGACAUGCACUCGUAUUUUUAAAAUAAAACAUAGCCUAGUGUUCCCCUGUUGGAAUUAUAAGCAUGUGCCACUCAGAAAUCAUAUGUCAGGAAAUAACUUUGCUCUGAAAACGUUCCAUAUUUUUUUCUUUUUAUAGAGUUCUGGACUACUUGGUAAUUCCACUUAUCAUUUGACAGAUUACUUAUCUGUGACCUGUUGUACCUAUUCAUUUGGAGGACAAAAUCAGUAGCCUCUUUAAGUGCAGUAAGAUUAGUGAUGACUUUGUUUGUCAUCACAAACCAAGACUGUUUUCAGGACAGUAAGUCCCACACCUAGGUUUCAGUGGAAUUUGAUUUGUAAGAACAAAUCAGUGCUUUGGAAAUGUCGUUCUUAUUUUAAUGAGUUUAUAAUUAAGCAGAACACAGGUUGUUUUCUUUGCAGAAUCCCACCCACAAGGAUUCUAUUGAUUUACUGUUUAAUUAUAUGAAAUAGCAUGUCAGGGUGAAGGUAAAGCAGAAAACAAAUUAUGAUCUAAUCUAAAAUGUAGAUCUAUAUUAGAAUGAGACUGCUGACCUGUGAAAUACAUUCAAAUAGUAUUUACCAAAAUCAUUCCUAUUGUCAAAAUGAUGAAGAGACAUUUUCUCUGGGUGUUGCAGUGGGGACUGAGACAGCAGAAGUCUCCAAAGGUAAUUGUGAACUUAAAACUCUAAAAUAAUUUCCACAUAUUUGCAUCACAAAAUAUAUUUUUCAUUGUAGAAAGAAUAAUUUAAGUCCCUCAAAGUUUUUUAAAUUAUUACUUAUAGAGGAUAUAGGUUCGGAGACAACAGUGUUGAAUGUAGAAGAACUACUGAAAUUAAAUGCAAGAAUAUUGAAGAUUACGGCUGAGCCUGUUUGUAGUUGCAAAUGUUAUUGCUUUCACUAAAAUUACUUUGAGACUAUUAUGUUGCCAUGAACCUUAUUCAAGUGGCAAGUUUUCUCACCCAAAGUAUGUUCAUCUUUCUCAAAUGAAAAAUUAUCCACAUAUAGAACAGGUAUUUACAAUCAUAAAGCAAAAAAUUAGUUAUUAUAUUUUAAUUAUUAUACCAGGUCCUAUAGGUAGCAUCCACUGAUGUAGCAUCAUUGAAUACUACUUUAUAUAAGACCUGGCAAAAUUACACAUAGGAAUUAGAAUUUUAAAGUGAACAAAACAAUUCCUUUUCUAUAAAAGCUAAAAAUGGCAUUCAAAUGUCAUUAACAUAAAUUAACAUAUAUGCAGAAUAUUGUAAGACCACCAAGGAGGACUCUACAAAGAAGAGGUAAUUAUUUUUAUAUGAAUGGCAGCUUAUUUUCAUAAUAAUAAUUAAUCACAUAUAAUCAUUGGCUUCAUGUGAUGUCCAUUUGUGAAAUAACAUGAUAGAACAUAAAAUGUGUGCUAAGGGUAGAUAAUAUUGGAAAUCUAGAAUAGUACUCAGUUGAGGAGAACCUUGAAGGUCAAACUAAGCCACUAGAUUAUUUUUACUUCCUUGGGGAACACAAAAAGUUUUGUUUACUCUUUCCAACUCUCCGGGAAAUGGCCUGUGUAAAGAAUGCUUAAGAAGUUUGAUCUGAAAAUACAUCUAGAAUAGUCCUAACUGGGCUGUUCUCAGGUACCUUACUUGGAGAUUCCAUAUGAUUUCAAAAGCAUUUCAAUGAUGAAAAGUCUAAAAGAACACAUCCCAAAGAAUAGGCAUGUUAGGAAAUGACUCAGAAUAUCCUACAACUGAUACUGAGAAAGAUGUAGAUCACAGGCUAGGCAAAAUUUUCUGAGGGGUGUGUGGGCAACUAUUAUGUUUUGUUUUGUUUAUUGUAUGUGUGUGUGUGUAUGUGUGUGUCUAUAUAGUUAUUGGAGCACAAGCAAGGGCAUACAUACUCUGGGGGAAAAAAAUCUUCCAAACUCCUUUUACAAGGCCAGCAGUACCCUCUUGCCAUAACUAGGUAAGGAUACUACAAGAAAAUAAAAUUAUAGACCAAUAGGCCUGAUUAAUGUAAAUGCAAAAACUCAAAAAAAAAAUCAAAUUCGGCUUCACUUUAAAAGGAUUAUGCAUCAUGAACAAGUGAAAUUUAUCCCUUGGAUGCAAGGAUGUUCAACAUGUGCAAAUCAAAAAAUGUGAUACACCAUGUUAACAGAAUGAAAAAUAAAAAACAAAUGAUAAUCUUAACGCAGAAAAAGUAUUUGGUAACAUUUAAUGUCUUUUCAUAACAAAAAAUUUCAACAAAUUAUGUACAUAAACAAUGUACCUCAACAUAGUAAGUGCCAUAUACUACAUAUAAUAAGCCUGUAACCAAUGUCAUAUUCAAUGUUAGAAAUCUGAAAGCUUUUCGUCUAUGAUGAGAAACAAGAUUAAGAUGCUCACACUUUCUACUUCUGUUCAAUAGAGUACUGGAAGUCCUACCCAGUCUAACUAGGCAAGAAGAAGAAAUAAAAGUCUUCUGAAUCAGAUAAGAAGUAAAAUUGACUCUGUUUGCAGGUGACAUGAUCUUAUUUAUAGAGAACCAUAAAGACUAUUGGAAAAAACUCUCAAAGGAGGCACAUGACUGAUGCCUGAUCCAAUGUCAGUGAGUUCUCCUGGUCCAGGGUACAUUAUCCACCUGAAUUGAAGAAGCAGAACCAGCCAGAAGAGGAAACACUGUAAUAAAAUUAAGAUCUGGACUCUAAUUCUGUUUUAUUUUCUCAACGUAUAAACCAUGAGUAAAUUGUUAAUCUUAAAAGAAAAUGUUUUUCUUCCAUUGUUCCUUUGUAAAGUGGACAUGAUCACACCUGUGUUCAGAAGGAACUGAUUCAGAGGUAUGAGAAUAAGACUCACAACUUAUUUGUAUCUUAGAAGCCCCAUAAAGACAAGCCCAUAGUUUGAUGAUUUGCAAAGAAAAGAAAAAGUGACUCCAAAACCAAAGGCAGGAAAAGUGACCUUUCUCAAGCCAUUCUAGGCUACUGUACUAAGUGACUUUUUUCACAACAUGAAAAGCUGCUUCCUCCUUAUGCAUAACAGCUUCGGAGGGUAUGGCCUUUCCAUACGAAGCUUCUUGCCUUGCAAAUUAAUCAAUGGUCCAUGUGGCAGAGCCUGUAGACAGAGAAGAGGGUUCCUAGGGAGCAUCACAGCUGCCUGCCCUGAGAAAUGUUGCCUGAUACUGGGUGAAGAGCUGGUGAUUAGAAGGAGUGUUUUGUAAUUGGUGACCGCCAUAGGCUAAGAACUACACCCAAUACUCAUUUUCUUGUGACACAUAUGUCACAUAUGUCAUGUGGGGGAAGAAACAGCUUAUUUUAGACUGAUCCUGAAUUUCUCACUAAACCUAGUGAAUGAAACUGACAUGAUAAAAUAUAACAUAAAAAAUUAAUCAAUUAAGUUAAUUAAAUCAUAAAAUAGUGCUUUAUUUGUGCUGGGCUGUCUUCUAAACAUAGGAGGUUCAAGGGGAUACAAUGUUAAACAAAACACACACAGACCCUGUCCACAUGGAAUUUAUUAGCUAAUGGCAAUUUCUCAAAUCAUUUUCAUCCAGUAGCCAAAAUCCCCCAAAUCCUGAAUUCAUCAUUAUAUAUUUUCAAAUCAAUGAUAAGCUUUUUAAACCUAAUAUUUUCAGUGAUUACUUUGUUAAUUUUUUCUCAAAUAAUUCAAAUUUUU
rnacentral:lncRNA from 10 species